rnacentral:rRNA from 1 species
AUUCCGGUUGAUCCUGCCGGAGGCCAUUGCUAUCGGAGUCCGAUUUAGCCAUGCUAGUCGCACGAGUUCAGACUCGUGGCAGAUAGCUCAGUAACACGUGGCCAAACUGCCCUACAGAUCGCGAUAACUUCGGGAAACUGAGGCUAAUAGCGAAUACGGCUCUCACGCUGGAGUAGCAGAGAGCUGGAAACGCUUCGGUGCUGUAGGAUGUGGCUGCGGCCGAUUAGGUAGACGGUGGGGUAACGGCCCACCGUGCCGAUAAUCGGUACGGGUCGUGAGAGCGAGAGCCCGGAGACGGAAUCUGAGACAAGAUUCCGGGCCCUACGGGGCGCAGCAGGCGCGAAACCUUUACACUGCACGACAGUGCGAUAAGGGGACUCCGAGUGCGAGGGCAUACAGUCCUCGCUUUUGUACACCGUAAGGUGGUGUACGAACAAGAACUGGGCAAGACCGGUGCCAGCCGCCGCGGUAAUACCGGCAGUUCGAGUGAUGGCCGCUCUUAUUGGGCCUAAAGCGUUCGUAGCCGGCCACGCAAGUUCGUCGGGAAAUCUGCCCGCUUAACGGGCAGGCGUCCGGCGAAAACUGCGUGGCUUGGGACCGGGAGACUCGAGAAGUACGUUCGGGGUAGGAGUGAAAUCCCAUAAUCCCGAACGGACUACCGAUGGCGAAAGCAUCUCGAGAGCACGGAUCCGACGGUGAGGAACGAAAGCUGGGGUCUCGAACCGGAUUAGAUACCCGGGUAGUCCCAGCUGUUAACGAUGCCCGCUAGGUAUGGCACAGGCCAUGAGCCUGUGCUGUGCCGAAGUGAAGACGCAAGCGGGCCGCCUGGGAAGUACGUCUGCAAGGAUGAAACUUAAAGGAAUUGGCGGGGGAGCACUACAACCGGAGGAGCCUGCGGUUUAAUUGGACUCAACGCCGGACAUCUCACCAGCACCGACAGUGUGCAGUGAAGAUCAGGUUGAUGACCUUAUCGGAGCCACUGAGAGGAGGUGCAUGGCCGCCGUCAGCUCGUACCGUGAGGCAUCCUGUUAAGUCAGGCAACGAGCGAGACCCGCGUUCCUAAUUGCCAGCAGCAACCACGUGUUGGCUGGGUACAUUAGGAAGACCGCCACGGCUAACGUGGAGGAAGGAACGGGCAACGGUAGGUCAGCAUGCCCCGAAUGUGCUGGGCAACACGCGGGCUACAAUGGCCGAGACAAAGGGUUGCAACCCCGAGAGGGGGCGCUAAUCUCCGAAACUCGGUCGUAGUUCGGAUUGCGGGCUGAAACCCGCCCGCAUGAAGCUGGAUUCGGUAGUAGUCGCGUGUCAGAAGCGCGCGGCGAAUACGUCCCUGCUCCUUGCACACACCGCCCGUCAAAGCACCCGAGUGAGGUCCGGAUGAGGCCACCAUGCGGUGGUCGAAUCUGGGCUUCGCAAGGGGGCUUAAGUCGUAACAAGGUAGGCCUAGGGGAAUCUGGGCCUGGAUCACCUCCUA